AGGAGCGCGCUGCCCCAGCAGACUUCCUCCGGCCGCCAUGGGGUGGCAGCAGCAGCCAGGCUAAGGGCAGCCUCCAGCCGGCGACUUGUUUUUCAGCUCUUAGGUGGUUAAAGAUUCUAUGGAAGGAGAAAAAUCAAUUACAGGGGAAGAGUGGAGGUUGCGCAAGCUGCUCCCAGGCACUGCGGUAGAACUGGAGAGGAGGCGAGACGAGGCGAGGCGAAAUGACCGAGCCGGAGAGUGGCGCAGGAGGAGAACCGGACAGCGAGCUGUCCGCCCGCCCCGAGCCCCAAGCGAGCUGGCUUCUGCCCACAUCUGGAUGGACCCCAGCCCAAGGCACACGCACGCAGGCUCUUCGGCUGAAUUCCUUCUGCCCCACUGAUUAGAGGUCACCCAGGAAGGAGAUGUAGAAAAAGUGCAUCAUCCUGGCUGACUUCUGCUCAGCGGGGGGCAGCAUGACACCGGGGCAAGAGAGCUGGAGCUGGGGUCAGAAGAGCUGGA